rnacentral:lncRNA from 1 species
UUUUUGUAAUUUAUUCUUUUGUCCACAUUCUCUUUUUAAAAAUAUAGUUUUUUUUAUUUUCCACAUCUUUUUAAAAAUAAAGUUGUGUUUCUUUUCCCAAGCACAAUUAGAAAGAUGUUAAUAUUCCAAUCGGAUUCAUGUAUAUCCGAUUGUGUAUGGGCUAUUUUAUCUUACAGACGCUUUGAGAAUUUUUGAACUACUCGCACACUCGACAAGCAACGAAACGUCUUAAGGAGAGUGAGUUUUUGUUUUACAAGUUUUGUUUGGAGCAACUGAUUUCUCUCUUUUGUUUCUGUGGCUAUGUAGUUAUUCUAGAAUUUCAUAUUGUAUUUUGUGUUCAUCUUAUGUUUGAGUGUGAUUGUUUCAACUAUUUUAAGACAUUUUAAUUCCACCAAUGUUUGUGGCAGUCGUUACUGUGAGACUCUGAUCGCGAUCUACCUUUACGCGAUAAGACUCCAUGCGGCGUAGAUAGCCUAUGCGAUAAGAAGUACUGUGUGAUGAGAAAAAGACUACGCGGGAACUCUUGUUGCGAUACAAGAGCCUACUUCACCAGGAAGUAAUGAUGUCGUUCUCAUGUAAGAAAGUCAGCAAUUGAUUUGACCUUGCUGUCCAAUUCGAAUCUAGGAUAAGGAUAUGGCAGAGACACCUCACAUUCUAAUAUUAGACCACUUCUCACCACCAGCAAAAGUAAUCAUUCCAGCAUGAAAAACAUCACCGAAAAAGUUUAUAAAUAGAUUGAUUUUGAUCUUUUUGAGGCUACUUUUACCUUGAGCUUACAUAAUAGAAAUUAGAGAGAACUUCCAAGGUCUUUCAGAGAUUCUAAAUCAAGUCUGAACUCGGUCAAAAGAUGCAAGGAGCUCAUGGUAGCAACUCAUGUGACC